rnacentral:rRNA from 1 species
GGAAUCUUGCGCAAUGGACGAAAGUCUGACGCAGCCACGCCGCGUGAGUGAAGAAGGCCUUCGGGUUGUAAAGCUCUGUCACCUGGGACGAAAACCUUUGCGGUUAAUAGCCGCAGCGCUUGACGGUACCAGGGGAGGAAGCACCGGCUAACUUCGUGCCAUCAGCCGCGGUAAUACGAAGGGUGCAAGCGUUGCUCGGAAUUAUUGGGCGUAAAGGGUAGGUAGGUUGUCUUGUUUGUCUAAGGUGAAGUCCCAUGGCUUAACUGUGGAAGUGCCUUAGAAACGGCAAGACUAGAGUCCUAGAGGGGUUUGUGGAAUUCCCGGUGUAGCGGUGAAAUGCGUAGAGAUCGGGAGGAACACCAGCGGCGAAGGCGGCAAACUGGAUAGGAACUGACACUCAACUACGAAAGCGUGGGGAUCAAAC